GAUGAACGCUGGCGGUGUGCCUAAUACAUGCAAGUCGAGCGACCAGACGAUGAGCUUUUUCCUCUGACGUUAGCGGCUGACGGGUGAGUAACACGUGGAUAACCUACCUAUUUUACUGGGAUAACUUCGUGAAACCGGUUCUACUACCGGCUAAUAUAUUCUACCGCUUGGUUCAAUAGUUCAUGACGGUUUUGCUGUCUCUUUUAGAUGGUUCCGCGCCGCCUUAGCGACUUGGUAAGGUCACGGCUUACCAACGCACCGAUGCAUAUCCGACCUGAGAGGGAGAUCGGCCAAACUGGAACUGGAGCACGGUCCAGACUCCUAAGGGAGGGAGCAGGAGGGAAACUUCCGCAAUGGGCGAAAGCCUGACGGAGCAACGCCGGGGGAGGGAUGAAGGUCUUCGGAGCGGAAAAGUCUGUUAGUAGGGAAAAAAAAAUGUGUAAGUAACUAUGCACGGCUUGACGGGACCUAAUCAGAAAGCCACGGCUAACUACGUG
rnacentral:rRNA from 1 species